rnacentral:rRNA from 1 species
AUUGAACGCUGGCGGCAGGCUUAACACAUGCAAGUCGAGCGGAGAUGAGGUGCUUGCACCUUAUCUUAGCGGCGGACGGGUGAGUAAUGCUUAGGAAUCUGCCUAUUAGUGGGGGCCACCAUUCCGAAAGGAAUGCUCAUACCGCAUCCGUCCUACGGGAGACAGCAGGGGAACGUCGGGCCGUGCGCUAAUAGAUGAGCCUCAGUAGGAUUAGCUAGUUGGUGGGGUAAAGGCCUACCAAGGCCACGAUCUGUAGCGGGUCGGCGAGGAGGAUCCGCCACACUGGGACUGAGACACGCCCCAGACUCCUACUGGAGGCAGCAUUGGGGAAUAUUGGACAAUGGGCGGAAGCCUGAUCCAGCCAUGCCGCGUGUGUGAAGAAGGCCUUUUGGUUGUAAAGCACUUUAAGCGAGGAGGAGGCUACUAGUACUAAUACUACUGGAUAGUGGACGUUACUCGCAGAAUAAGCACCGGCUAACUCUGUGCCAGCAGCCGCGGUAAUAC